CCCUUAGAUGUCCUGGGCCGCACGCGUGCUACACUGAUACGUGCAACAAGUUUAUUUCCUGGCUCGGAAGAGUUCGGGUAAUCUUUAUAAUGCGUAUCGUGCUAGGGAUAGAUCUUUGAAAUUAUGGAUCUUGAACGAGGAAUUCCUAGUAAGCAUAAGUCAUCAGCUUGUGCUGAUUACGUCCCUGCCCUUUGUACACACCGCCCGUCGCUGCUACCGAUUUUGAGUGAUCCGGUGAACCUUCUGGACUGUACGCAGGCUUGACCUGUGCGUGGGAAAUUAAGUAAACCUUAUCACUUAGAGGAAGCAGAAGUCGUAACA
rnacentral:rRNA from 1 species